UACGGAGGGUGCAAGCGUUGUCCGGAAUCACUGGGCGUAAAGGGCGCGUAGGCGGCUCAUGAAGGCGUGGUGAAAGUCCGGGGCUCAACCUCGGAUCGGCCGUGGCGACUCGUGGGCUGGAGCACUGUAGAGGCGGGUGGAAUUCCGGGUGUAGCGGUGGAAUGCGUAGAGAUCCGGAAGAACACCAGUGGCGAAGGCGGCCCGCUGGGCAGUGGCUGACGCUGAGGCGCGACAGCGUGGGGAGCAAACAGG
rnacentral:rRNA from 1 species